GAUGCAAAUCUAUCACCAAAAUUAAAUGUGUUUUUCAAACAAUACAAGUAUGUAUUUUGUUUUGCAAUUUUUUUUUGUAUGUUGCAUUUAUAGUACAUAUAUCAAUUGCUGACUUUCAUGAAUAUAAAAAUAGUUGCAUGUUCUAUACUUUUGAUAAAACAAUAUCUUUUGGAUUUUCACAAGUCAUUUCCCUUGAAUUCUUUCUAGAUAUGCUAACACACUAAUAUUUGUGUAGUAGUCCAUAAAUUGUGUUUGGAGGGGUAACGCACUGUUCUAGAGAAAUAUUACUUAUGCUUUCUUUUGGUAGUAAUAAAUGCGUAGAAAUUAUCAUGGUAUCCUUACCUAGUUUGGAAUUUUUCCCUUUUUAUCCUAGUGAUUAAAUUCAACAGUUCCUACAUGUAGCAUGGCACAAUCCCCACUUAAGCAAAAAUCAACGCAUUCAAAAUAUAUAUUGUUCUUGUUUUGUUGGGUAGGGCACAACCUCACAUCUCAACGAAACAAUAUAGCAUAACAAUAUUUCUUAAAAGUAAAUAGCAUUGAAUGAGAAUGUAGAUAGAUAUGAUUAUGUUGCCAUCAUAAUUUAAAAAGCGUACGAUGUGUUGGUCAUAUGUUUUUGUCAAAAAAUGUAUGGAUCAUAUGAAUUUUUGAGAGAUAUAUGAAACAAGUAUAGCAAUAGUUUGUUAAUAUACUUUAAUAAUGCUCUCCAAGUUAUUGCAUACAUUAAGUAUAAUGCCUACAAUUGAUCAUAGUUAAUCUACAUGAUUAUGGCAGUCAACGUUUUUGACAAAGUCAACUUUGUUGGUUUGAAGGUAAAAUAAUAUAAGCAACUAUAUGAAGAGAAACCAACUCAAGUAGAUCUAUCUGAUAACAAAAUAAUAGCAUAAAACAGAUGUAAUUAUAUAAUAUUAUUGAUAUUAAAGGGAUCACUACUACACAACUACAAAGCAAAACUAUAUAAUGAUGAACGACUAUCCUCAACUGUAAGAGUAUUCUAAAGAACUAUGGUAUGGGACAUAUAUGCUAGUAAUUAAGAGAGUAAAUUUCAUAAAACCCCAGGUUUUGAGACAACUACAGCAUAAAACCUCAGAUUUGUUUCGAGGAACCCGAGAUUUUGGGGCAAAAUGUUUCAAGAAACCCCAUGUUUAAAUCAAAUACUCAUAAUUUCAUUAUUAUAUAUGAUAUAUUUAGUAUAUACAUUAACAAACUCAAAAUACAUAUACCUCUUGUGCACUUUAUUGUCUUCCUCACUCUUGCAUUACACCAUUUAAAAAGUGCAACACAACCCCUUAAUAGUUACACAUUAACCAGUUCCUUAGACACAUAAACAGCCAUACUACCAAUAACCAAUGCUCGUUAAAAUAAGUCCAACAUGUAUAUUAGGAAUGUCUCUUAUUAUUUUUUUUAAAUUACUAUGCAUACAUAUAUUAGUCAAAAAACCGAUUUAAGCUUAAGCGUGGGGUUUGUUGAAACAUUUUGCCCCAAAACCUAGGAUUAUUCAAAACAAAUCUUAAUACCUGGGGUUUUGCAUUACGGGUGCCUCAAAACCUGGGGUUUUGUGAAAUUUACUCUAAUUAAGAAGAAUAACACAUAGAUCAAAGAGGAUGCAUAGAAAAUAUAUGAACCUUUGCAUCGGUGAAGUCCUUCUGAAGUAGGCUUUAUAUAGUUUGCCAUCUAUAAUAUGAAAUAGCAACAUUUGUUAUCAUACCUUGACACAACUUAUUUUGAUACAAACUAAUUCAGAGAUUAUCUUGCCACCAAAAGUACCCACCCCACCCCUACCCUGCCUCAUCCCCAGCCUCCUGGUUGGCUCCUUCCCCAACUACGGUCAGACUAUGCAUGUACCAUAUUGCAAUAUCUCAAGAAAUUAGAGGAAAAUAUAACUAGAACUGGUGUGUGUAAAAAUAUAUCAUACCUUGAUGACGUUUCUCCUGAUUCAAUGUGGAAAAGAUAACCUUUUCACAAAGAACAUCCAAAUUGUCCGAUGGGCUUCUUCCCCACAACGAUCAGACAAAGUGCACAAAUAGAUUGAUGUGUAGGUUGCCAGCAUUUUUUUUUAAGAAUAGAUAGAAAUCCGACCUCUAUAUCCAUAUAUGGCCAAACGUGAUUGUGGGCCUCAUAACUUAGGGACAAAAAAAAAGCUAAAAGACUAAGAAAGAAAGGUAAAAGACUUACUUCAAAUCUUCUUCUAUGUCCUUGCUUUAACCUUACUCUAUCCUUCUGUAGCAACAAUUAUGUUUUCUACUAGAAACUUUGGUAUGAGAAUGACCCUAUUAGAAAUGGAUCAUAUGUUGCUUGCCAAGCUCUAUUGCACAGAAAUCUCACAAAGACAUAAUCGCCACCAACACAAUCACUCUCCGACCUCUUCCAACGCAACGAACAACCAUUAAUCAUCACUUAUUGCCCCUCAUAGAGCUCCUCGUCGCAUGUGGUCAAACAAACAAGGGACGAAAAGGAUGGAUCUAGCCCCCCUGCAACCACCAUGCCCUCCCGCUGCCACCACUGCCUCCUUUCGA
rnacentral:sRNA from 1 species